GACAGGAUCCACACAGCUAAAGGACAGUUGGGUCCCAUCCAAACUCAGCCAGGGGAAGAUUCCCAUGCCUGGACGCCACCAGUGACUUGAACAAAAACCUCUCAGAGUCUACCAGCAUUAUGGAAUCAGAAGGGAACCAAAGCUUCAUUGAGCACAUCUUUGAGAAAAUCAUUGAGAAUCUGCACGACACAGUGAGCAUAGAGGAUCUGUAGCAGCUGGUGACCCAAGA